CUGCUCCUAGUACGAGAGGACCGGAGUGGACGCAUCUCUGGUGUACCGGUUGUCACGCCAGUGGCAUCGCCGGGUAGCUAAAUGCGGAAGAGAUAAGCGCUGAAAGCAUCUAAGUGCGAAACUCGCCUCAAGAUGAGACUUCCCGGGGACUUGAUCCCCCUGAAGGGUCGCGGAAGACCACCGCGUUGAUAGGUCGGGUGUGUAAGCGCAGCAAUGCGUUGAGCUAACCGAUACUAAUUGCCCGUGAGGCUUGAUCCU
rnacentral:rRNA from 1 species